rnacentral:rRNA from 1 species
CAUGCAAGUCGUACGAGAGUUUUUAACUCAAGUGGCGGACGGGUGAGUAACACGUAAGAAUUUGCCUUUAGGAGGGGGACAAGAUGAAAAUCGGUAAAUACCCCAUAUGCUUUCGAGUGAAAUGGAUUUUUCCGCCUAAAGAGAAGCUUGCGGCUGAUUAGCUUGUUGGUGAGGUAAUGGCUCACCAAGGCGACGAUCAGUAUCUGGUUUGAGAGGACGAUCAGACACACUGGAACUGAGACACGGUCCAGACUCCUACGGGAGGCAGCAGUGGGGAAUUUUCCGCAAUGGGCGAAAGCCUGACGGAGCAAUACCGCGUGAGGGAUGACGGCCUAUGGGUUGUAAACCUCUUUUUUCAGGGAGGAAUCAAAUGACGUGUACCUGAAGAAUAAGCAUCGGCUAACUCCGUGCCAGCAGCCGCGGUAAGACGGAGGAUGCAAGUGUUAUCCGGAAUCACCGGGCGUAAAGCGUCUGUAGGUGGUCCAAUAAGUCAACUGUUAAAUCUUGGGGCUCAACCUCAAAAUCGCAGUCGAAACUAUUAGACUAGAGUAUAGUAGGGGUAAAGGGAAUUUCCAGCGGAGCGGUGAAAUGCGUAGAGAUUGGAAAGAACACCGAUGGCGAAGGCACUUUACUGGGCUAUUACUAACACUCAGAGACGAAAGCUAGGGUAGCAAAUGGGAUUAGAUACCCCAGUAGUCCUAGCCCUAAACAAUGGAUACUAGAUGUUGAACAGAUCGACCUGUGCAGUAUCAAAGCUAACGCGUUAAGUAUCCCGCCUGGGAAGUAUGCUCGCAAGAGUGAAACUCAAAUGAAUUGACGG